UACGUAGGGGGGCAAGCGUUGUCCGGAAUUAUUGGGCGUAAAGAGCGCGUAGGCGGUCCGAUAAGUCGGCUGUGAAAGUCAGGGGCUCAACCCUUGAAAGCCGGCCGAUACUGUCGGACUAGAGUCCGGAAGAGGCGAGUGGAAUUCCCGGUGUAGCGGUGAAAUGCGCAGAUAUCGGGAGGAACACCAAUGGCGAAGGCAGCUCGCUGGGACGGUACUGACGCUGAGGAGCGAAAGCGUGGGGAGCGAACAGG
rnacentral:rRNA from 1 species